rnacentral:rRNA from 1 species
UACGGGAGGCAGCAGUGGGGGAAUAUUGCACAAUGGGCGAAAGCCUGAUGCAGCUAUGCCGCGUGUAUGAAGAAGGCCUUAGGGUUGUAAAGUACUUUCAUCGGGGAGGAAAAACAAAACUAAUAAUUUUAUUUCUUGACGUUACCCGAAAAAGAAGCACCGGCUAACUCCGUGCCAGCAGCCGCGGUAAUACGGAGGGUGCUAGCGUUAAUCAGAAUUACUGGGCGUAAAGAGCACGUAGGUGGUUUUUUUAAGUCAGAUGUGAAAUCCCUGGGCUUAACCUAGGAACUGCAUUUUGAAACUGAAAUACUAGAGUAUCGUAGAGGGAGGUAGAAUUCUAGGUGUAGCGGUGAAAUGCGUAGAUAUCUGGAGGAAUACCUGUGGCGAAAGCGGCCUCCUAAACGAAUACUGACACUGAGGUGCGAAAGCGUGGGGAGCGAAACAGGGAUUAGAUAC